AGUGAACGCUGGCGGUAGGCCUAACACAUGCAAGUCGAACGGCAGCACCGUAAGAGCUUGCUCUUACGGGUGGCGAGUGGCGGACGGGUGAGGAAUACAUCGGAAUCUACUUUUUCGUGGGGGAUAACGUAGGGAAACUUACGCUAAUACCGCAUACGACCUACGGGUGAAAGCAGGGGAUCUUCGGACCUUGCGCGAUUGAAUGAGCCGAUGUCGGAUUAGCUAGUUGGCGGGGUAAAGGCCCACCAAGGCGACGAUCCGUAGCUGGUCUGAGAGGAUGAUCAGCCACACGGGAACUGAGACACGGUCAAGACUCCUACGGGAGGCAGCAGUGGGGAAUAUUGGACAAUGGGCGGAAGCAUGAUCCAGCGAUACCGAGUGGGUGAAGAAGGCCUUCGGGUUGUAAAGCCCUUUUGUUGGGAAAGAAAAGCAGCAGGUUAAUACCACGCUGUUCUGACGGUACCCAAAGAAUAAGCACCGGCUAACUUCGUG
rnacentral:rRNA from 1 species